rnacentral:rRNA from 1 species
GACGAACGCUGGCGGCGUGCUUAACACAUGCAAGUCGAACGAUGACGACCGAGCUUGCUCGGUCUGAUUAGUGGCGAACGGGUGAGUAACACGUGAGCAACCUGCCCUUCACUCUGGGAUAACCUCGGGAAAUCGGGGCUAAUACCGGAUAUGAGCUCCUGUCGCAUGGCGGGUGUUGGAAAGUUUUUCGGUGAAGGAUGGGCUCGCGGCCUAUCAGUUUGUUGGUGAGGUAGUGGCUCACCAAGGCGAUGACGGGUAGCCGGCCUGAGAGGGCGACCGGCCACAGUGGGACUGAGCCCCGGCCCGGCCUCCUGCGGGGGGCAGCAGUGGGAAAUAUUGCACAGUGGGCGAAAGCCUGAUGCAGCGACGCCGCGUGGGGGAUGGCGGCCUUCGGGUUGUAACCCUCUUCCGGCGGGGAAGAAGCGAAAGUGGCGGUCCCUGAAAAAGAAGCGCCGGCUAACUACGUG